CCCACUCCAGUAUUCUGGCCUGGAGAAUUCCAUGGACUGUAUAGUCCAUGGGGUUGCAAAGAGUCAGACACGACUGAGUGACUUUCACUUCACUUAAUUCACUUAAAUGGGGGGUGGGGUGUUGGGGGGUGUUCUGUGCUACAUUAGUUAGUGCUGUUACCUUGAUAUACCGGCCCUUGUUCUCCUGGCCCCUCCCCUCAGGCCAACCACAGAGAGACACUGGGGGGACCUCAGGUCUGAUGGAUCCCCUGGAAAAGGGUGUUUCCAGAAGAAGUUAGCUUUGGAAUUGGAGACUGAGUGGAGAAUAUGCCUCACCAAUUCACUGGAGCCAUCCCAGAAGACCUGACAGAGUUCCCAACAGCUGGGGCAACGAGUCCUUCAGAAGGAGGAUCUGGUGCUGCAGUGCCCUGACCCCACAAUUUGACUCAUGGCUCUCACCUCCCCCACCUGCUCCAAGCACAGUCCCUGGAGAGAAGGAAACCUAGAGACUGAGCCAACCCUUGUUGUACGGCUUUGAAAAGCACACACUGAGUUUUCUAGGAAUACACAACUACUAUAUAAAUCAAGGGAACAUGCAUACUUUGUGUAGUUUGGAAUUUUAUCAAGAAAUAUUCCUCUUUCAGGAAAUCAUGUCAGG